GACCGAGGGUGCAAACGUUGUUCGGAAUUACUGGGCAUAAAGCGCACGUAGGUGGUCUGCUAAGUCAAGUGUGAAAUCCCCCGGCUCAACCGGGGAAUUGCGCUCGAUACUGGCAGGCUCGAGGUUGGUAGGGGUGAGCGGAACUCCAGGUGGAGCGGUGAAAUGCGUAGAUAUCUGGAGGAACACCGGUGGCGAAAGCGGCUCACUGGACCGAAUCUGACACUGAGGUGCGAAAGCUAGGGUAGCAAACGGG
rnacentral:rRNA from 1 species